CCUACGGGAGGCAGCAGUAGGGAAUAGUGCUCAAUGGGGGAAACCCUGAAGCAGCAACGCCGCGUGGAGGAUGAAGGUUUUCGGAUUGUAAACGCCUUGUGUUAGAGAAGAGAAGGACGGUAGCUAACGAAUAAGCACCGGCUCACUCCGUGCCAGCAGCCGCGGUAAUACGGAGGGGGCAAGCGUUACUCGGAAUCCCGGGGCGUCACGAGCGCGUAGGCGGGAUAGCAAGUCCGAUGUGAAAUCCUAUGGCUUAACCAUAGAACUGCAUUUGAAACUGUUAUUCUUGAGUAUGGGAGAGGUAGGUGAAAUUCUUGGUGUAGGGGUAAAAUCCGUAGAGAUCAAGAGGAAUACUCAUUGCGAAGGCGACCUGCUAGAUCAUACCUGACGCUGAUGCGCGACAGCGUGGGGCGCAAACAGGAUUAGAUACCCUUGUAGUC
rnacentral:rRNA from 1 species